rnacentral:rRNA from 1 species
GACGAACGCUGGCGGCGUGCCUAAUACAUGCAAGUCGAACGCUUUUUCUUUCACCGGAGCUUGCUCCACCGAAAGAAAAAGAGUGGCGAACGGGUGAGUAACACGUGGGUAACCUGCCCAUCAGAAGGGGAUAACACUUGGAAACAGGUGCUAAUACCGUAUAACACUAUUUUCCGCAUGGAAGAAAGUUGAAAGGCGCUUUUGCGUCACUGAUGGAUGGACCCGCGGUGCAUUAGCUAGUUGGUGAGGUAACGGCUCACCAAGGCAACGAUGCAUAGCCAGCCUGAGAGGGUGAUCGGCCACCCUGGGACUGAGACACGGCCCAGACUCCUACGGGAGGCAGCAGUAGGGAAUCUUCGGCAAUGGACGAAAGUCUGACCGAGCAACGCCGCGUGAGUGAAGAAGGUUUUCGGAUCGUAAAACUCUGUUGUUAGAGAAGAACAAGGAUGAGAGUAAAACGCUCAUCCCUUGACGGUAUCUAACCAGAAAGCCACGGCUAACUACGUGCCAGCCGCCGCGGUAA